rnacentral:rRNA from 1 species
UACGAAGGGGGCUAGCGUUGCUCGGAUUGACUGGGCGUAAAGGGCGCGUAGGCGGUUCGUACAGUCAGACGUGAAAUUCCUGGGCUCAACCUGGGGGCUGCGUUUGAUACGUGCGGACUUGAGUGCGGAAGAGGGUCGUGGAAUUCCCAGUGUAGAGGUGAAAUUCGUAGAUAUUGGGAAGAACACCGGUGGCGAAGGCGGCGACCUGGUCCGAUACUGACGCUGAGGCGCGAAAGCGUAGGGAGCAAACAGG